CACGUAGUUAGCCGGCGCUUCUUAUCCAGCUACCGUCAACCAGGCGAAUAAGGCCUGGCCUGCUUCACUGGCGAAAGAGGUUUACAACCCGAAGGCCUUCAUCCCUCACGCGGCGUCGCUGCAUCAGGCUUGCGCCCAUUGUGCAAUAUUCCCCACUGCUGCCUCCCGUAGGAGUCUGGGCCGUGUCUCAGUCCCAGUGUGACCGUCCACCCUCUCAGGCCGGCUACCCGUCAAAGCCUUGGUAGGCCAUCACCCCACCAACAAGCUGAUAGGCCGCGAGCCCAUCCCCCACCAGAAAAACCUUUCCAGACCCCACCAUGCGGUAGGGAAUGAGUAUCCCGUAUUAGCUACCGUUUCCGGCAGUUAUCCAGGAGAAGGGGGCAGGUUACUCACGUGUUACUCACCCGUUCGCCACUCAUCCACCCCAGCAAGCUGGGGCUUCACCGUUCGACUUGCAUGUGUUAAGCACGCCGCCAGCGUUCGUCCUGAGCCAGGAUCAAACUCU
rnacentral:rRNA from 1 species